ensembl:lncRNA
AUGGGAGGUGGGGGGAGCGGGGAAUCAUCUUGGAAGCUUGGGAGCCGCCUACACACAUGGCAAGUCUUGUCAGCAGCUGAUAAAAGAGGUGGGAGGUGGGGAGAUUUCGAGGGGGAAGAAUGUGGAGGCUCUCAUGCCCACAUAGCUCCCCCAUCCUGUCUCCUGCAGGGCUCCCACAGGAGGGAUGGUCGCAGGCUUGGCCUUGUUGGUGGCACACGUGCAGCGAGGAGAGACCCCAAAAAGGGACUCGGAUGUGCUUCAGCAAUGACGCAAAGAGAGCAGAUGCACAAGGCAGAGCUCUGGCACGGGCUUGGAUUUCUGCAAGGAGAACAGAGUGAAGCACUGGCCUGGUUUCCAGGAAAGGAGAACAGUGUGUCACAGAGAAGGCAUUGAAAAGACCUGAGGCUUCUGCCUCAGCUUUCAGUCUUACUCCUGCAGACACGUGGAGUCUUGGGAGUUCAAAAGGCUGAACUAGAGACUGUCCUGCAGCUGGCAGAGGACAGGAAGCUGUGGGUUCCUCCUGAAGAGCUGCUGGAGACCACAGAGGGUGUCCCUGUGUCUGCUGGAGAUCCCUGCUCAGCUCACGUCAAUCCCUGCGGCGCUGACCUUUGCAGUGGGACUGUGGGAAUCCGAGGUGGGCAGGAAGGCUUGGUACACUAUCUCCAGUGCCCAGAGCCCCCAAAAGACACUGGCAGCCCUUCAGCAACGUCUCAAAACCUCACAGGAUCUCUGACAUCCUCUCCAGCUGGUGCAUCCCACAGCACAGGUAGGGCUGGGCACACCACACGUUUCCUCCAGCUGACCCACCCAUUUCCUAUUUUCUGCAGACAUGACAACUAGUGAGUUAAUCCUGCAGGCCAUAAACUAAGCUGUAUUAGCAGACACCAUCUGUCCUUUUUCAUUUGCUGAUGCACGACCUAUUUUGCUGUGUAGUGGAGCAGGCGCUGCAGUUUUGGGGUUUGCAUGUUGCGGUGUCCCUGUUGCCAGGGCAUAAUCCACUGCUCACAGAGAGCUGCUAGUGGGGGAAAGCUCCAGUGAACUGAGCACCACUGGCUCCUGCUGCCAUGGGAAGGUGGUGGAUGAAGCCUUUCCCCAUGGCUGCCUGGCCUCCAAGGAAGUUUGGGCUUCAAUCCCACAAAGCACCUGGGAGGGGAAAGGUCUCAGCAGAACUUCCAAGGAUACACAACUUCCAAGCACAACUGCCCUCAGCAGGGUCUUCCGAAGCCCCUUCAGAAGAAUGUGGCCACAUCCACAUUCCCUCACUUGUCGGGAGGUCGUGGAGAGACCUGAAUUCUCAUCCCAAAGUGGGGUUUAUGGGAACAGGCUCAGCACUCCAGCCACUCUGCUCUGGCCUGGAGUAAUUCCUGUGCUUUACAGAGCUGAGCAAUGGCAAUCACACCAGGACAGGGAAAGACAGGAAGAGAACUCUUCCUUUAUCCCUCUGGUCAUGUCUUGGAGCAGUGUGGUGACCCUUGUCUGGGUACAGAAGUACAGACAUUGUGAAAGGUCAUAAAACCAUCAGGAUUUUCCAAACCAGUAAUUAUUUGACUUUACCAUCUCUUGAAGCAAUUCCAAAGGUUAGGGCCUUGUCAAAAGAAGCCUCCUGAAUUUACCAACUUUCAAUUUAACUCAGCGCUGGUGGCAGGAAUUUUCCCUGAGUUCUGAAACAAAAAGCCAGGAAAUUCUGUGGAUGUGUGCUGAGGAGGGUGCUGAGUGCUAACACACUCAUGUGUUCCUCAGAGCCAGGAUGAUCAAUAGUCACUGACCUCUGGACUCCCAAAAUAAGCCAGAGAAUUUUCAGCUUCCUGCCUCGCUGCACAAAAGCAGAAGAGAGAGGGGAAGGAAUUAUUCAGACUGACCUUGGCCUUAGCCAGACCACUUCUCUCUGACUUAGCUCAGUUGCAUUAUUUGGGUUUUCCAAAGGACUCCCAAGCUCCUGGCUAGGAUGUGGCCCAAAUCCACCCCUUUCUGUGCCAUCAGUGUCCUCUGAGUAUCCAGCACUGCCAGAAAGCUGGCCUGGAGUCAUUCCCCUUUCCUGCUAGUCCAGCUCUUUUAGAAACUGGCUUAAGCUCUGAAUCCUGGUGUUUCCUACUCUGAAAUCUGUGGUAACUCCUGUGUUUGACCCCUCUGCUGAGCUCUGUGCCCUCAGCUUCCAGCAGCAGCAGCAAGCCCUGCUGUCUCCUGCCUGCCUUCCCUAAGCUUUGCCCAGUGUUCCUUUGUGCUGUGGACACUCUGCAUCAGAUGUGACAAGAAAUAAUGUUCCACAACAUGCCCUGGUGUUCCUGCAAGCUGUGCCCCCCAUCCUGCACUGGGAAAAGGGGAGCUGGUGUCAGGAUCUCUGUGCUAGGAACAGACUGACAGUUUGGGGUGUAAUAAAUCCCCACUGUGUGAGACCAAUCCCGACUUUUCUUCUUUCUCUCUGUGAGCUUUGGGAGGAGGACUGCCUCAAGAAUUGUAUUGAUCUCAGUCCAGGAACAAACAUUCCCCUUCCACAGGCCACAGCCUCUCUCUCCUGUGUGUCAUGUGAGGAAGAGGAGCAGGGAAGGGCAGUGCUUUGCCAAGACUAGAACGUACCCAAAACUGUGACUGCUGUCAGGAGGUGGGAAGAGGAAGAAAGAGCCCAUGCGGUCAGCCCUGGAAAGGGCAGUUCCUGCUGAGAACUGCCUGGGGAUCAUUCCCGUUUUCAUAACCAGCAACAGCUGUGAAAAGGGGAAAGAACAGUGAUUCUGGACCCUGCCAGCAGCACCUCUUGCCUGCAGCCGGGCUGGGGGAGCAGAGAGAGCUCCCAGCACAGCCCUCUGGCCCCACAGCAAGGAAAAUGUGUGUCAUUUUCCAGAGGGCUGAGCCAGCAUUAACCAGGUGGGGAAUGUAUGAGCCUCUCACUCUGAACAUGUGCUUGCUCAGGGUUCCCUUGUCUCAGCUGAGAUCUUUCCUCAGUCUGACUCUUGACUGCCAGGCCCCUGCCCCCAGCUCAGUCCACGGCUGUUCCCCCUGUGCUCUGUCCUCUGCAGCAGAGCAAGGUGGGGAAAGGGAGUGGGGAGCUGUAGUUUGUCCUUCAUUCCUGGGCUGGCAUGGAGGGGCAAAUGGGGUUUGUUCUGCUGAGUUUUGCUGCUGACCCAUGCCUUCCUUUCCCUGGCCUGAUGCAUGACCACAAGCCCAUUCUCUCUAACUUCAAGCACCUUUACCACAACCAGGAAAUUCAUCUUCUUGCUCCCUCUUCUCCCUCAGCCCUUCACCACCAUAAGAAACACUCACCCCUCUCUGGGGCUUGUCAUCUGCGGGUUGUCUUAACCAGUGUUGGAGUAAACUGCCCCCUGUGCUGCCUCAGACUGGGUUGUGCACAGCAGAAAAUUGAGUAGGAAGUUUCUGGGGCGAUCACUGUGCACUGAGACCUCAAAUGCUUCUCUGAAAUCAGGCCCUGCUGUUUCUCCAGAACAUCCCUCCAACAGGGAGGCAGCAGCCUCUCAUCUGCCCAGCCCUGCCAUCUCUGAUCUGGGCUGCCACCCCUUUUCCCCUGAGCACCAGGAAAAGUCCAGUGCCUGACACUGAAACAGCGGGAGCUGCCAAGA